AAACUAAAUCAUCACCCUCUCAAUUAAAACACUUAGUCACAUCAAAUUUGAAGGCCGCUUCACCACUGCAACCGCUGGAAAACAAGGAAUCGCUUCAUCACUGCAACCGCUGGAAAACAACCGCCGGUUCUUUUUUGUGACAUGGAAUCGAAUUCUGACUCGGAUCAUGCUGAAGAGAACAAAUCACAAAGAGGUCCAACAAUAAAGUCAAAAUCUAGUAAAUGGAAACUUAUAAUUACCUACAAUAAAAAAGGUGUCCCAUUGGAAAGGAAUCAGUAGCACUCUCUACUUUUGAGGGAUUGGUAGCAAGAACUAUGAUUCCCAUAACUUAUACCACUUGGCGGAAAGUUGGUAAGGAAACAAAGGAAGAAUUAUGGCAAUAUGUCAUGGCACAUUUUGUGGUUGACCCAAAGAGCCGGAAGCAAACUAUUUAAUCAAUUGGGACAAAGUGGAGAAACUUCAAACAUACUCUAUACAGGGAUUACAUUGAGACACAAAAAGAUGACCCUGAGGAGAAGAAAAGUUUACUUAAUCGUCCUCUUAAGUAUCCGUUCUUGAAAAAAGAAGACUAGAAACUAUUUGUAGCACAAAGAACUUCAAAACAAUGGGAGGAGACAAGUAAGAAGGCAAAGAAAGUCCGCGCACAUCAUAAAUACAAUCAUCAUUUGAGCAGAAAGGGAUAUGCCAGACUCACUACUAACU